rnacentral:rRNA from 1 species
AUUGAACGCUGGCGGCGUGCUUUACACAUGCAAGUCGAGCGGAAAACUUCGGUUUUCAGCGGCGGACGGGUGAGUAACACGUGGGCAACCUGCCUCACAAUGAGGGAUAGCCUUCCGAAAGGAAGAUUAAUACCUCAUAACACAAGAGAAACGCAUGUUUCUCUUGCCAAAGAAUUUCGUUGUGAGAUGGGCCCGCGGCGCAUUAGCUUGUUGGUGAGGUAACGGCUCACCAAGGCUUCGAUGCGUAGCCGACCUGAGAGGGUGAUCGGCCACAUUGGAACUGAGACACGGUCCAGACUCCUACGGGAGGCAGCAGUGGGGAAUAUUGCACAAUGGAGGAAACUCUGAUGCAGCAACGCCGCGUGAGUGAUGAAGGUCUUCGGAUUGUAAAACUCUGUCUUCUGGGACGAUAAUGACGGUACCAGAGGAGGAAGCCACGGCUAACUACGUGCCAGCCGCCGCCGUAA